CCUACGGGUGACAGCAGUGAGGAAUAUUGGUCAAUGGACGAGAGUCUGAACCAGCCAAGUAGCGUGAAGGAUGACUGCCCUAUGGGUUGUAAACUUCUUUUAUAUGGGAAUAAAAUGUUCCACGUGUGGGAUUUUGUAUGUACCAUAUGAAUAAGGAUCGGCUAAAUCCGUGCCAGCAGCCGCGGUAAUACGGAGGAUCCGCGGGUUAGCCGGAUUUAUUGGGUUUACAGGGAGCGUAGGUGGAGUGUUAAGUCAGUUGUGAAUGUUUGCGGCUAAACCGUAAAAUUGCAGUUGAAACUGGCAGUAUUGAGUACAGUAGAGGUGGGCGGAAGUCGUGGUGUAGCGGUGAAAUGCUUAGAGAUCACGAAGAACUCCGAUUGCGAAGGCAGCUCACUGGACUGCAACUGACACUGAGGCUCGAAAGUGUGGGUAGCAAACAGGAUUAGAUACCCCUGUAGUC
rnacentral:rRNA from 1 species